rnacentral:ncRNA from 1 species
UUUCUCUCAUUAUAGCUGGAGUACGUAAUGAAGCUGCUAUAUUCGAUAAAGCAAAUGAUUACAGGAAUUUUGGGACGAAACGUCUUCAACGAAGUAUGACUGUCUUGCUUGAAGCGUAGACAUCGGAUGUGUGCUUCAAAUAGACCAUUUUUGAUAAGCAGAACUGACGCUGUGGGAUGAACCA